rnacentral:rRNA from 1 species
UACGGGGGGAGCAAGCGUUGUUCGGAUUUACUGGGCGUAAAGGGCGUGUAGGCGGCCACCGCAAGUCGACUGUGAAAUCUCCGGGCUUAACUCGGAAAGGUCAGCCGAUACUGCGGGGCUAGAGUGCAGAAGGGGCAACUGGAAUUCUCGGUGUAGCGGUGAAAUGCGUAGAUAUCGAGAGGAACACCUGCGGCGAAGGCGGGUUGCUGGGCUGAUACUGACGCUGAGGCGCGAAAGCCAGGGGAGCGAACGGG